rnacentral:tRNA from 1 species
GGAAUUGUGCCUGAAUGCCUAAGGACUACUUUGAUAGAGUAACACACGGAGGCUAGAAUCCUCCCAAUUCCU